CUCUCCUGUGUGUGCUUCCUCUCUCUCUCUCUCUCUCUCUCUCUCUCCUUCUUUCUUUUCUCUUUGUUGCACUGCUGCAGUAAAGCUCUCUUGGUUGCUCUGAGUGUUGUGGUCACUUUUCUUUCACACACAAUGGAAUACUACUCAGCCUUAAAGAAGAAAGAAAUUAUGGCAUUUGCAGGUAAAUGGAUUGAACAAGAGAAUAUCAUAAGCUGGUCCCAAAAAAACAAAUGCUGAAUGCUUUCUCUGAGAAGCAGAUGCUGAUCCAUAGUAGGGGUGGGGUAGGGAAGAAUGCAGGAAUUUUGGAUUAUGCAGAGGAGAGAGAGGGGAGGGGUGGGGCUGUGGGAAUUGGAAAGAUGGUUGAAUGAGACAGACAUUAUUACCCUCUAUACAUUUAUAAUUACACUACUGGUGUGACUCAGCACCCUGUAUAGCCAGAGGAAUGAGAAGUUAUGGUCCAUUUGUGUACAGAGUAUCAAAAUGCAUUCUACUGUCAUGUAUAACUAAUUAGAACAAAUUUAAAAAAAGAGAGAGAGAGAGGGAAAAAAGGACACAGAGAAGGUGAUAUGAAAAUGGAGACAGACUGAAGACUGAAGUGACAUGUCUAUGAGCCAAGGAAUGCCAAGGGUUGACAGAAACCAAAGAAAGAAAUGGCAAGAUAUUUUUUUUUUUUUUCCCCUCAGAGCCUCCAGAAGGAACCAAUCCUGCUGGCACCUUGAUCUGAGACUUCUAGCUUCCAGAAUGAUGAGAACGUAAAAUUUUAAUCAUUUUUGGCUGCCAAGUUUUUGGUGUGAAAGUUGUCAGAAUCAAAAUGGAGUCACUUGUGUCAAAUCCUAACAAGAAUAAAUAAGUAAAGCUGGGAAGUCACAAAGGAGGGGAUCUCAUGUCUGAUUACAAGAAGUAGCACAGGAGAUUUGCUGACCGUGACCUUGCCUCAAGACCACAGCAACCUCACACAAGAAAUACAUCUGUGAGGACCUCUGCCCAGCAGCAGCCUGCCCAACCUUGGACGAACGCCACCCUCAUUAUUGAUCCUUGUAACCAAAGAUGGUGGUUUCAAAACAAUUUAUGCAAUCCUCCUCCCUUUACCUCUAAAAAUCUUUGUCUUUAAAAACUUUUGCCUUCUGAAUACACCCAAAGUUUACUAUGGCAUGCAUAGUACACAUGUCCUGCUCUUUCUGGAAUAAACUCAUUAUUUUUGGAGAAUCUCU
rnacentral:lncRNA from 1 species